AUUGAACGCUGGCGGCAUGCUUAUCACAUGCAAGUCGAACGGUAGCACGGUCUAGUUUACUAGAUGGGUGACGAGUGGCGAACGGGUGAGUAACGCGUAGGAAUAUGCCUUAAAGUGGGGGACAACUUGGGGAACUCAAGCUAAUACCGCAUAAUCUCUUAGGAGAAAAGCUGGGGACCUUAUGGCCUGGUGCUUUAAGAUUAGCCUGCGUCCGAUUAGCUAGUUGGUAGGGUAAAGGCCUACCAAGGCGACGAUCGGUAGCUGGUCUGAGAGGAUGGCCAGCCGACACUGGAACUGAGACACGGUCCAGGACUCCUACGGGAGGCAGCAGUGGGGAAUAUUGCGCAAUGGGCGAAAGCCUGACGCAGCGACGCCGCGUCGGGUGAUGAAGGCCUGGUCGUAAGA
rnacentral:rRNA from 1 species